UACGGGGGGGGCAAGCGUUGUUCGGAAUUACUGGGCGUAAAGGGCGCGUAGGCGGCCAUCUAAGUCGGACGUGAAAUCCCUCGGCUUAACCGAGGAACUGCGUCCGAUACUGGAAGGCUUGAAUCCGGGGAGAGGGAUGUGGAAUUCCAGGUGUAGCGGUGAAAUGCGUAGAUAUCUGGAGGAACACCGGUGGCGAAGGCGGCAUCCUGGACCGGCAUUGACGCUGAGGCGCGAAAAGCUAGGGGGAGCAAACGGGG
rnacentral:rRNA from 1 species